UACGAAGGGGGCUAGCGUUGCUCGGAAUGACUGGGCGUAAAGGGCGCGUAGGCGGUGUGUCAAGUCAGGCGUGAAAGCCCCGGGCUCAACCUGGGAACAGCGCUUGAAACUGGCACGCUCGAGUUCGGGAGAGGAUGGUGGAAUUCCCAGUGUAGAGGUGAAAUUCGUAGAUAUUGGAAAGACCACCAAUGGCGAAGGCACUCUACUGGGCCAUUACUGACACUGAGAGACGAAAGCUAGGGGAGCGAAUGGG
rnacentral:rRNA from 1 species